rnacentral:rRNA from 1 species
GGGAUAACACCUGGAAACAGAUGCUAAUACCGGAUAACAACACUAGACGCAUGUCUAGAGUUUGAAAGAUGGUUCUGCCAUCACUCUUGGAUGGACCUGCGGUGCAUUAGCUAGUUGGUAAGGUAACGGCUUACCAAGGCAAUGAUGCAUAGCCGAGUUGAGAGACUGAUCGGCCACAUUGGGACUGAGACACGGCCCAAACUCCUACGGGAGGCAGCAGUAGGGAAUCUUCCACAAUGGACGAAAGUCUGAUGGAGCAACGCCGCGUGAGUGAAGAAGGGUUUCGGCUCGUAAAGCUCUGUUGGUAGUGAAGAAAGAUAGAGGUAGUAACUGGCCUUUAUUUGACGGUAAUUACUUAGAAAGUCACGGCUAACUACGUGCCAGCAGCCGCGGUAAUACGUAGGUGGCAAGCGUUGUCCGGAUUUAUUGGGCGUAAAGCGAGUGCAGGCGGUUCAAUAAGUCUGAUGUGAAAGCCUUCGGCUCAACCGGAGAAUUGCAUCAGAAACUGUUGAACUUGAGUGCAGAAGAGGAGAGUGGAACUCCAUGUGUAGCGGUGGAAUGCGUAGAUAUAUGGAAGAACACCAGUGGCGAAGGCGGCUCUCUGGUCUGCAACUGACGCUGAGGCUCGAAAGCAUGGGUAGCGAACAGGAUUAGAUACCCUGGUAGUCCAUGCCGUAAACGAUGAGUGCUAAGUGUUGGGA